rnacentral:rRNA from 1 species
CCCCGUACACAAAAGCGCAUGUGCUGUGAGCUCGAUGAGUAGGGCGGGACACGUGGUAUCCUGUCUGAAUAUGGGGGGACCAUCCUCCAAGGCUAAAUACUCCUGACUGACCGAUAGUGAACCAGUACCGUGAGGGAAAGGCGAAAAGAACCCCGGCGAGGGGAGUGAAAAAGAACCUGAAACCGUGUACGUACAAGCAGUGGGAGCACCCUUUGGGGUGUGACUGCGUACCUUUUGUAUAAUGGGUCAGCGACUUAUAUUCUGUAGCAAGGUUAACCGAAUAGGGGAGCCGGAGGGAAACCGAGUCUUAAUUGGGCGUUAAGUUGCAGGGUAUAGACCCGAAACCCGGUGAUCUAGCCAUGGGCAGGUUGAAGGUUGGGUAACACUAACUGGAGGACCGAACCGACUAAUGUUGAAAAAUUAGCGGAUGACCUGUGGCUGGGGGUGAAAGGCCAAUCAAACCGGGAGAUAGCUGGUUCUCCCCGAAAGCUAUUUAGGUAGCGCCUCGUGAAUUCAUCUCCGGGGGUAGAGCACUGUUUCGGCUAGGGGGCCAUCCCGGCUUACCAACCCGAUGCAAACUGCGAAUACCGGAGAAUGUUAUCACGGGAGACACACGGCGGGUGCUAACGUCCGUCGUGAAGAGGGAAACAACCCAGACCGCCAGCUAAGGUCCCAAAGUCAUGGUUAAGUGGGAAACGAUGUGGGAAGGCCCAGACAGCCAGGAUGUUGGCUUAGAAGCAGCCAUCAUUUAAAGAAAGCGUAAUAGCUCACUGGUCGAGUCGGCCUGCGCGGAAGAUGUAACGGGGCUAAACCAUGCACCGAAGCUGCGGCAGCGACGCUGAUGCGUUGUUGGGUAGGGGAGCGUUCUGUAAGCCUG